rnacentral:rRNA from 1 species
UACGUAGGGUGCAAGCGUUAAUCGGAAUUACUGGGCGUAAAGCGUGCGCAGGCGGUUUUGUAAGUUUGUCGUGAAAUCCCCGGGCUUAACCUGGGAAUUGCGAUGAAGACUGCAAGGCUAGAAUCUGGCAGAGGGGGGUAGAAUUCCACGUGUAGCAGUGAAAUGCGUAGAGAUGUGGAGGAACACCGAUGGCGAAGGCAGCCCCCUGGGUCAAGCACUGACGCUCAUGCACGAAAGGCGUGGGGAGCAAACAGG